ACGGAAGGCAGCAGUGGGGAAUAUUAGGCAAUGGGGGCAACCCUGACCUAGCAACGCCGCGUGAAGGAAGAAGGCCUUCGGGUUGUAAACUUCUUUUAUAGGGGACGAAACAAAUGACGGUACCCUAUGAAUAAGCCACGGCUAACUACGUGCCAGCAGCCGCGGUAAUACGUAGGUGGCGAGCGUUGUCCGGAUUUACUGGGUGUAAAGGGCGCGUAGGCGGGAUGGCAAGUCAGAUGUGAAAUCCAUGGGCUCAACCCAUGAACUGCAUUUGAAACUGUCGUUCUUGAGUGUCGGAGAGGCAAGCGGAAUUCCUAGUGUAGCGGUGAAAUGCGUAGAUAUUAGGAGGAACACCAGUGGCGAAGGCGGCUUGCUGGACGAUAACUGACGCUGAGGCGCGAAAGCGUGGGGAGCAAACAGGAUUAGAUACCCUGGUA
rnacentral:rRNA from 1 species